rnacentral:tRNA from 1 species
GGUAUCGUGGGUGUAAUGGAAACACCACCCCGCCAAAAGACGGAGAGAUGCAGGUUCGAGUCCUUCCGGUACCA